rnacentral:rRNA from 1 species
GCAAUACCUGCCCAGUGCGAAAUAUUACUGUAAACGGCCGCCCUAGCGUGAGGGUGCUAAGGUAGCGAAAUUCCUUGCCUUUUGAUUGUAGGCCUGCAUGAAUGGUUUAACGAGGGUUUAACUGUCUCUAAAUUUUUUAUUGAAAUUGUGCUGAAGGUGAAGAUACCUUCAUUAAAAAGUUAGACAAAAAGACCCCGUGCAACUUUGAAAAUUGACUUUAUUCAGGAGUAAAAGAUUUUUAGGUGGGGCGCCUAGAAAGUAAGCCUAACCUUUCUGAGUAACUAACUCUUUCCGGAUUUGACCCGAUUAUAUUCGAUCAUAGGAGAAGUUACGCCGGGGAUAACAGGCUAAUCCUUUAGUAGAGUUCGUAUUGGCUAAAGGGAUUGGCACCUCGAUGUUGAAUCAGGGAUGAUAGCUUCAAGGCGUAGAGGCUU